UUGUACAAUAAUGGCUGGCUAUAUCUGACGAUGAUAGCACGGUAUUCUUUAAGUGUGUUCGUGAAUUGUUUCACCCAUUUUUAUUGCGUUGUAUCAACCUACGUCACAUGAAAAACACCAAUACAACGUGAGAAAUUUCCGAAAUAAAUAUUGCCCACCAUACACAAUUUCGUCAGCGAAAAGGUUUCCAUUGACUGUGAGGUAAACACGGUGGACUGUUGACAAGGCGUCGUUGCCUAAUGCCUAUUACUGCACCUUUGGCCAUUUAAUGCAUACACGGUUAAAUACAAUUUUGUGCAGCAUAAGGCGAAAUGGAUGGUUGAUCAGAUAAAAUCUCGUUCCCAUUGUGAACAUGUUGCAAGAGUAGAUAAUUCCACGAACAACUUCUGCCACCAGCGGAUGACAAUCGCUGGACACGACGCAAUUAACAAUGAGUAAACGCUUUUACUCCCAUAACAGCUAGCGAAUAGUUGAUAAUCACUGCCAUUUCGCUUGGACGGCCAUCUACCAUGAAAGGUAUCAGUCACGAGAAUCGACAACAUUCUUAGCACUGCGCUUAUAAACAAAUAGUCGAUCGAGCCAAACUGCGAAUCCCUCCAUUAAGAUUGUACACCGAAUGCUGUAGUCAGCUGUAUGGACACUACUGAAGUUUUUCUUCGCCUCACAUCGAUUGCAAGGGAUAUACAGGUUCUCAUUGAUACUCACUGCCACAUGACGACCAGCCUGUCGCUCUAUAAGAAGAAGCGGAGUAAUCUUCGCACGGCAUCAAUGUUCAAAUCAGCCGCCUACUACUACAUACAAGGCGGUGCAUUGGGCGGGACAUGUUCACAUUUAUUACUUCCACUAGACUGUUCACAGCUUACGUCUGUGAUAUUAGCUAUGAUCGGGUCCGACGACCGAUUCUUACGAUGGCAUCGGAGCAUUUUUUCGUUAUUACAGCCAGCGUUAUUGUGACUUUGGUAGAGCUAAACUGAGAAUACGCUGGUCCUGGUCGCAUCGCAUCGCGUCGCUGCUUCCUUCCUGCGGAGAAUUUUCAUUGCAUCGAUAUCAUCACUAUUACGAUCAUACGGGAUAAGUGGCCACACGUUGGCUGCUGCCGUCUAUCCGUCGCUCAAGCGACAGGUGAAAGCCGACAAGAAGCGAAAAAAAGUUUGUUUUUUUAAGCCUUACGUUUUCGGCGACGCAGACGGUACCGCUGUCGAUGAACUAGUUGGCCACAGCAGCAUUUGAAGAUAAGAACUCACUUGUGCGUUCACACGAACAGCUUUUUGAACAGAUUAUAGUCAAUUCAGAUGAUUCAGAAGUACUUUCUGAAGAUUGAGACGUAGGACUUAUGCAGCAUCUAUAAAUACCUUGAGGACAAGUGCUCCUCAUGAUCCUGGCAACUAUACCGACAUUGGGAAAGAAGAUAGUGACUACUAGGUAGUGAUCGUGGAAUACCUUUUUACAUAACCCGGCUUGACUUUAACGUUUCGUAACGGCAGGACAAGAAUCAUUUGUAUUUCUACGUGUGAAUGCGCUCUGAAACAGGUCCAGUGAAUGAUACGUUGUAUCAUUUUUCGUGGCAUUUAAUGCCGCUCGUAUGCAGUACAUCGUAAUGUAAACGAUCGGCUAUACAGGUACUUUAUUCAUUGACUAGACUGAUACUUUGAUUUGCAUCUGUUAUUGGAAAUUAUUCAUGUGUAGUAAACAUAACUCGGUUUUCUUUAUAGACUUAAUAAAUAUAUUUCGGCCAAGAAUGUGCCUAAAAAUUAUAAAAAUUAUUAAAUUACUACAAAUUAUAAAAAACAACUCAGAUGCACUGCAGUAUUGGUAUUGCCUAUAAUGCACAAAAUGAUUUAUGUGACUAGGCAUAAACGAUUUCGUAGCAGAAGAUUGUAACGUUGAAAAUAAGUACCUAAAGCGAACAUUUGCUAUCUAUUUACCAUUAGGCAACAACUUACCACGUUCCCAUUAACGAGAUUCUGAAUGGAUGAUCGUUUUCGUAAUAUUUAUGGACGGUUUUUUUUUUAAUUCCAACUACCGCUAUAUAUAUAUACCGAUUUAGUGGUCGUACUAAAUUGACCUACUCAAAAUUCUUGAAGUUCGAGUGCCCGGAAGUCACUGCAUAUGAAGCGCCCGGGUGCUCAUCCUGAAGAUUGUGCCGAAUAAUUUAUUUGCGCUCCAUUGAGACUUGAAGAAUAUAAGAGAGGUCCAAGACUUGCGACAAUACUGAAGUGUUCAAUCGAAUAUCGGGAAAUGCGGUUAUUAUAAGGGCUGCGAAAAAUGUUACGAAGAAGGAAAUCACCGAAAUUCAGGCGGGUACUAUUUCUGACGAAGAGCUAUGCGCUCGUAAUCUCACCG